GAUGAAGAACGCAGCGAAAUGCGAUAAGUAAUGUGAAUUGCAGAACUCAGUGAAUCAUCGAAUCUUUGAACGCACAUUGCGCCCCCUGGUAUUCCGGGGGGCAUGCCUGUUCGAGCGUCAUUUCACCACUCAAGCCUCGCUUGGUAUUGGGCAACGCGGUCCGCCGCGUGCCUCAAAUCGACCGGCUGGGUCUUCUGUCCCCUAAGCGUUGUGGAAACUAUUCGCUAAAGGGUGUUCGGGAGGCUACGCCGUAAAACAACCCCAUUUCUAAGGUUGACCUCGGAUCAGGUAGGGAUACCCGCUGAACUUAAGCAUAUCAAUAAGCGGAGGA
rnacentral:misc_RNA from 1 species